rnacentral:rRNA from 1 species
AGCGAACGCUGGCGGCAUGCCUAGCACAUGCAAGUCGCACGGGGGGGCUUCGGCCUCCCAGUGGCGGACGGGUGAGGAACGCGUAGGGACCUGUCGAGGGGUGGGGGAUAACCGCGGGAAACUGCGGCUAAUACCGCAUGACGCCGCGGCGUGACAGCCGGGGCCAAAGGCGAAAGCCGCCCGCCGAGGGGCCUGCGUCCGAUUAGCUGGUUGGCGGGGUAGCGGCCCACCAAGGCGUCGAUCGGUAGCUGGUCUGAGAGGGUGAUCAGCCACACCGGGACUGGGACACGGCCCGGACUCCUACGGGAGGCAGCAGGGGGGAAUAUUGGACAAUGGGCGCAAGCCUGAUCCAGCAAGGCCGCGGGGGUGAAGAAGGUCUUCGGAUUGUAAAGCCCUUUCGGCGGGGACGAUGGUGACGGUACCCGCAGAAGAAGCCCCGGCUAACUUCGU